GCCAGGUUAGUUUAAUUGGUCAAAACGUUAAUUUCAUGCAUUAAUAAUGAGAAUUCGAAUUUCUCUCCUGGCU
rfam:Lasallia pustulata genome assembly, contig: scaffold1908_size9044